rnacentral:misc_RNA from 1 species
GAUGAAGAAACGUAGCGAAAUGCGAUAAGUAAUGUGAAUUGCAGAAUCCAGUGAAUCAUCGAAUCUUUGAACGCACAUUGCGCCCGCCAGCAUUCUGGCGGGCAUGCCUGUUCGAGCGUCAUUUCAACCCUCGACCUCCCUUUGGGGAAGUCGGCGUUGGGGACCGGCAGCACACCGCCGGCCCUGAAAUGGAGUGGCGGCCCGUCCGCGGCGACCUCUGCGUAGUAAACCAACUCGCACCGGAACCCCGACGUGGCCACGCCGUAAAACACCCAACUUCUGAACGUUGACCUCGAAUCAGGUAGGACUACCCGCUGAACUUAAGCAUAUCAAUAAGCGGAGGA